rnacentral:rRNA from 1 species
AUGGCGAGGCCGCAGCAGGAGGCGAUCGACACCUUCAUCAGCAUCACCGGCGCCGACGAGGCCGUCGCCAUCCGCAAGCUCGAGGAACAUGCUGGUGACCUCAAUCAGGCAGUCAAUGCACACUUCACUGAAGGAGAUAGCACAGUGAACCCAAUCAAUCAAAGUAUUCCACCUGUUAAUCAUGAUGAUAUGGAGCUGGACGGACCACUUGAUAACACGUUUCAAAGACCGUUGUUCCCUGAAGCUCUGCACGACCCUUUUGCACUAAUGGAUCCCAAUUUCCAGCAAAUGUUUUUUGAUAGUGUUGGUUCUGCUGGUACUCUCAAUCGUGAUGCACAAGGUCCGCACCCUAGAGAGACAACUAAUGAAGUUAAUGACAACAACAUUCAAAUGGGUCCUUCUGGUCAGGCUUCUGUUGUUGGGAAUGCCACUGGACACGGGUCUUCAUAUGGACCAGAAGUUCGUGAGACUAUCAUAAUCGAUGAUGACGAUGAGGAGUUGUCAUCUGGGCUGUCUUCUCAGCAUGCUAGUAUCCGUAGCAAUGCACCGCAGCCAAAUCCUCUGCCAACUGCUCCUCCACUAGUUCAUGUCACAGACAAUGACAUAGAAGAGGAAAUGAUUCGGGCUGCAAUUGAAGCUUCAAAAAGAGAGGCUGAAGAACUGGCAAACGCAGCAGAGCAAGAACGGACUCGACAUAUUGGUGGAAUAAACUUGGAAGAUCAUUUAUCUGAUGAAGACAUGGAAAUUGCAGCUGGAACAGUGAGAAGGCAAGAAUUAGGUACAGGGAGGGGUGGAACAACUAUGCAACCAGCAGAUGAAGAGAGCUCAGAUGAGGAGACCGAUGAUGUUGAAGAAGAGCCAUUAGUUAGACGUCGUUCUAGGCGCAUCCCUGCUGGAGACGCAGAGUCAACGGAACCUGUUCUCCCAGGUGAUAGUCCUCCCUCAAGUUCGCAGCCUCAAAACCAUGAUCGCCAGUAUAACAGAACUGAUUUCCCAUCGGAGUGGGGUGGCAUUUCUUCUGAGGAACAUGAUGAAGCUGUUAUGCUUGAGGCUGCAAUGUUUGGUGGAAUUCCUGAAGCACCAACAUAUCCAUUAUCUCAUGCGAGCUCGAGUCAUUAUCCCCAAGUAGUGCACUCUCCACCACCAGAAUUGACUGAACAACGGUUAUUACGAGAGCAGCAGGAUGAUGAGUACCUUGCAUCGCUCCAAGCUGAUCAAGAAAAGGAGAUGAAGACUCUACAAGAAGCUGAGCUCAGACUGCUGGAAGAAACUGCUGCAAGAGAAGCUGCUCUUGAGAAACAAAGGCAAGAGGAGGAGGAACAGCGUAAAAUGCAACUUGAGAAAGAGGAGCUUGAGUCCAAUCUUGCCGCCAAAGAAGCAUCAUUGCCAUUGGAGCCACCUUCAGACAAAGAAGGUGUUAUAACACUUGUAGUUCGCAUGCCUGACGGUAGUCGACAGGGGCGUCGCUUUUUAAAAUCUGAUAAAUUCAAGUCCCUUUUUGAUUUCUUAGACGUUGGCAGGACUUGCAAGCCAGAAACCUACAGACUGGUAAGGACAUACCCCAGGCGUGCUUUUACCACUGCUGACGGCGACCAAUCAUUUACUGAUCUCGGGUUAACAAGCAAGCAGGAAGCCUUAUUUAUAGAGCAGAUUACUGAUUAG